rnacentral:rRNA from 2 species
ACGGGUGAGUAAUACAUCGGAACGUGCCCAAUCGUGGGGGAUAACGCAGCGAAAGCUGUGCUAAUACCGCAUACGAUCUACGGAUGAAAGCAGGGGAUCGCAAGACCUUGCGCGAAUGGAGCGGCCGAUGGCAGAUUAGGUAGUUGGUGAGGUAAAGGCUCACCAAGCCUUCGAUCUGUAGCUGGUCUGAGAGGACGACCAGCCACACUGGGACUGAGACACGGCCCAGACUCCUACGGGAGGCAGCAGUGGGGAAUUUUGGACAAUGGGCGAAAGCCUGAUCCAGCCAUGCCGCGUGCAGGAUGAAGGCCUUCGGGUUGUAAACUGCUUUUGUACGGAACGAAACGGUCUUUUCUAAUAAAGAAGGCUAAUGACGGUACCGUAAGAAUAAGCACCGGCUAACUACGUGCCAGCAGCCGCGGUAAUACGUAGGGUGCAAGCGUUAAUCGGAAUUACUGGGCGUAAAGCGUGCGCAGGCGGUGAUGUAAGACAGUUGUGAAAUCCCCGGGCUCAACCUGGGAACUGCAUCUGUGACUGCAUCGCUGGAGUACGGCAGAGGGGGAUGGAAUUCCGCGUGUAGCA